UGGCCGCUUGCAUUGAGAGACAACAGAUAAUGUUUGAUUAGUAUUGCAGAUGAGCACAUCUAACAGACAUGAAACGGGUGUCUGAGUGAUGUGUGUGUGUGUCAACACUGCUAUAGAUGAGUAUCUUUUGUUUUGGAGCAGGACCUGCAAGGAAAGGUGAAAAAAGGGAAAACCUGAAACAAAAUAAUAAUGUAAUGACUUUUUGUAUUGUGGGUGUGUGUGUAUUUUUGUAGGAUAUGAAAAUGUGUUGAUACUGAUGUGUGCACUGAGCAUGGAGAAGACCACAGCAUCAUCCUUGAAAUGGUCCAGAGACACAGAUGAGACGCUCCAGCUCUUACUGUCUCAUCAGGACCAGAUGCUGCUCUGGUGUCUUCAUCCUCAGUGACCCCAGAGCAGUGAGAGCAUCAAGAGAAAGACCAAAAGACACUGAGGAUUUGAUUUUGGUAAAGUUUGUUCUGCUGGUUUUUGUUUAUAUAAUGAAGGCUGACUUUCAGAAGCUUCAAAACCAUCAUCAAAAAAUGUGAUGGAGCUUUUAUCCAAAGUGAUUGGCAGUGCUCUUAUUACAGGGGCCUACAAUCCCCUGAUCAACCUGGAGAAAAGAGCCUUGCUCAAGGACAUACUGGUGGUUUUGAGCCAGUUCAGUGUUUUAGCACACUACAAAAGUAAUAAAUCAAUGCGUGUACUUGUAAACUCUGUGUAAAUGUUUUCCAGGUAGUGGUGCUCAUGGAGAGCAGGCACACAGAUGUUUGGAGCAGACACAGCAGCAGUCAGAUUGUCCUGCAUUUGUUCUCCUGCUCUUGUUCAGGGCUGUGUGGUUCAGAGAGCCGUCAUCAUGGUCUUCUGUCAUGAUCCUGACUUCUUUCUCUUUCUCCCUCUCUUUAUCACACACUCACCCACUUUCCUAUUACGCACACACUUUUCCCUUUGCUCUAUUAAUCUCCUUCAGCUGUUCCUAAUUUACUCUAGUCUUCGUGAUUAUUCCUUUUACACCUGUUCCCCCUUCUCCCUAAAUGAACUCUCCUAUUUAUUCCCCCCCCAUUCUUCAACAGAUUAUUCCAAGAUCCUCACGAGCAUCAGACGUCUUUCUCUACAUUGGGAAGUCGUGGCCUAAUGGUUAGAGGGUUGGACUCCCAAUCGAGGGGUUGUGGGUUCUAGUCCCGUGCCGGCAGGAAUUGUGGGUGGGGGGAGUGCAUGUACAGU